rnacentral:rRNA from 1 species
GGGUAUAGUUCUUCGGAAUUAGAGACCGGCGCACGGGUGCGUAACGCGUAUGCAAUCUACCUUUCACAGAGGGAUAGCCCAGAGAAAUUUGGAUUAAUACCUCAUAGUAUAUCGAGUUGGCAUCAACAUGAUAUUAAAGUCACAACGGUGAAAGAUGAGCAUGCGUCCCAUUAGCUAGUUGGUAAGGUAACGGCUUACCAAGGCAACGAUGGGUAGGGGUCCUGAGAGGGAGAUCCCCCACACUGGUACUGAGACACGGACCAGACUCCUACGGGAGGCAGCAGUGAGGAAUAUUGGACAAUGGGCGCAAGCCUGAUCCAGCCAUGCCGCGUGCAGGAUGACGGUCCUAUGGAUUGUAAACUGCUUUUAUACGAGAAGAAACACCUCUACGUGUAGAGACUUGACGGUAUCGUAAGAAUAAGGAUCGGCUAACUCCGUGCCAGCAGCCGCGGUAAUACGGAGGAUCCAAGCGUUAUCCGGAAUCAUUGGGUUUAAAGGGUCCGUAGGCGGUCAGAUAAGUCAGUGGUGAAAGCCCAUCGCUCAACGGUGGAACGGCCAUUGAUACUGUCUGACUUGAAUUAUUAGGAAGUAACUAGAAUAUGUAGUGUAGCGGUGAAAUGCUUAGAGAUUACAUGGAAUACCAAUUGCGAAGGCAGGUUACUACUAAUAUAUUGACGCUGAUGGACGAAAGCGUGGGUAGCGAACAGGAUUAGAUACCCUGGUAGUCCACGCCGUAAACGAUGGAUACUAGCUGUUGGGAGCAAUCUCAGUGGCUAAGCGAAAGUGAUAAGUAUCCCACCUGGGGGAGUACGUUCGCAAGAAUGAAACUCAAAGGAAUUGACGGGGGGCCCGCACAAGCGGUGGAGCAUGUGGUUUAAUUCGAUGAUACGCGAGGAACCUUACCAAGGCUUAAAUGUAGAUUGACCGGUUUGGAAACAGACUUUUCGCAAGACAAUUUACAAGGUGCUGCAUGGUUGUCGUCAGCUCGUGCCGUGAGGUGUCAGGUUAAGUCCUAUAACGAGCGCAACCCCUGUUGUUAGUUGCCAGCGAGUCAUGUCGGGAACUCUAACAAGACUGCCAGUGCAAA